GUCUAUGGCCAUACCACACUGACCAUAACAGAUCCUGUAUCAUCUUUGAAACUAAGCAGGGUUAGACCUGGACAGUACUUAGAGGAGAGAAAAAGGGAGCAAGGCUCUUAGGUA
rnacentral:rRNA from 1 species